CGUAAAUAAAUAAGUAUAUAUGAAAUUUUAAUUUAUCAAUAUGUGUAUCUAGCUUGUUUGGAAAGAAAAAGUUUCCGGAAAUAGUUCACACUUGCAGUUAUCGAUUUUAUAUUAUUGUAUUAAUACCUCUUCCUGGUUUGGAAAUUACCAGUUUAGAAUAGUGAUUUAUGAUUAAUAUAAUUAGCAAUUCACAGGUAUGUAUUAAUGUUUCGAUUCUGGAAAAAAAGAUAGUAUGUAAAUAUUUUUUUUCCUUUUUUUAAACGAUAAAAAAACCCAGUGGAUAACAAAUACCGUUAUCUCCACGCUUAUCGGUGAUAGGUAAAAUUAUUUCUCUAAAUCAGUUCCGGAUCUAAAAAAAUAAUAAUAUUAUCCUUUUUCUUUUCUUUUUUGCUAGAUUAUACAUUUGCAAACAUAAAAAAAAUUAUUACAACAAUUUGACAACUUUAUCAAGUAGACAUUUAUUCUUAGUAUGUUUACUAGUUGCCUGCACUUUGUAGCUGUACAUGAAUUCUGCUUUAAAUACAGAAUAUACAUCUAAAGAUUUUGUUUUCUGUUCAGACAUAUAAUUUGCCUUAUAUAUACAAAACAUUAUAAUAGUAAUCAGAUAAUUAAUUUCAUAGUAUUGCUCAUCAUUUAUUUUAUAACCCCAUACUAAAUUUUUUAAUGUUAGAAUAUUAUUAUUAAUAUUCAGUUUUUCUAAGAGUUUUUUAACUUUACUCCAGAAAUUAUCAAGAAA
rnacentral:lncRNA from 1 species